rnacentral:rRNA from 1 species
GCUCAUGAAUAAAAGUGCAUCCCCUUUUUCAAUGGGUCUUAGGAUAUUUGGGUUAAGCGUUCUAGGGUUUGAAUAGUACUGGGUUGGGUGACCUCCCGGGAAAUCCAAAUUCAAGAGCU